rnacentral:rRNA from 1 species
CCUACGGGAGGCAGCAGUGGGGAAUAUUGCACAAUGGGGGAAACCCUGAUGCAGCGACGCCGCGUGAGUGAAGAAGUAAUUCGUUAUGUAAAGCUCUAUCAGCAGGGAAGAAAAUGACGGUACCUGAGUAAGAAGCCCCGGCUAACUACGUGCCAGCAGCCGCGGUAAUACGUAGGGGGCAAGCGUUAUCCGGAUUUACUGGGUGUAAAGGGAGCGUAGACGGCAGUGCAAGUCUGGAGUGAAAGGCUGGGGCUCAACCCCCGGACUGAUAUGGAAACUGUACGGCUGGAGUGCAGGAGAGGUAAGUGGAAUUCCUGGGGUAGCGGUGAAAUGCGUAGAUAUUAGGAGGAACACCAGUGGCGAAGGCGGCUUACUGGACUGUAACUGACGUUGAGGCUCGAAAGCGUGGGGAGCAAACAGGAUUAGAUACCCUAGUAGUC